CCCGCCUGAGAUUUUAAGCCUCACAGCAAUAAUGGCCAUUUUAGAGAGAAUGGUUAGAGGAGGGGAUAAGGUUAAGUUUAGUAUUUUGAUAUUUUGAUUAUUGGAUUCUUUUGAGUUCACAUCAAAUUCUAUCUCGUUUUGAAAUAAUCUAACAAAAUCUAUAUCAGUCAUCUCAUUCUAAAUAACUUGUCACAUAGGCACCGACGACAAGAUCUACCCUAAAUUAGGAUUUUGGUUAGGGGAUAU
rnacentral:lncRNA from 1 species